UCCAGGGGAGCCGAAGGGGAGUGGUGCUGUCAGCAGGCUGCCAGGGCAAAGGGAACCCAAGAUGGAGAAGACUGAGUUUGAAUCCACCAUUCAUGUCCUGUGUGACCCAAUGCAAGUUGCACACCUCCUGUGACCCAUGUUAGACACAUAAGUCCCUCGUACUUGAAGGACUCUGAGAUGAUCUGGGCCCCUUAGCUAAAGGCAUCUGGAAACCAUGUGGCACCCAGUGCUGUCUGUAAACUGCAUGCACAGUGUGUCUCUCACACACAGUCUGAAUGUUUUUCAAAUGGAUGUAGAUGUUGCUGUGAUUGAUAAAUGCAACCACAUUUAAAAGUUUGGCAGUUGUUUUUAUUUUUGUCAUGAUUUUUGGUUCAUCAAUGGAUACUAAAAGCAUAACUACAAUCACAUGAGGUAGCUGGGAGGCAUUUUUUAAAUCCCCACUCUUAAACUAUUGCUAGAAUCCAAUAUGCCUUCUUUACAGUUUUGGACAUGGAGGUCCAGAAAGGGGAGAGGCUUGUCUAAAGUCCUGAAGCAAGUCAGUUCAUAGCCUAGAACUGUAACCACACUGCACUCACCCCUUCCCCCAGCCCCCACCCACCUCCUUCCUCUCUGCACUUAUUCAACAGUAUUUAUUCAGUACCUGAUUUGUGGCAGACUCUAUGUUAGGCACAGGGAGCCAAAAAUGAAGACCAGGGAUUCUUACUCUCAGGAGCUGACAUUUGGGGGAGGGUGGUGGUUAUGCACGGAGGGACACAUUAAACAGAUUUGUCCUAAGUGUUAAAAGAAGCCAUUGAAGAACCUCAGUGAGAAAGUGGUAUAAAGCUCCUGUUGAUUGAAGAACUUGAGUGAGAAAGUGGUAAUAAUUUGGCAAGCUGCUCAUAUGUGUCUGGCCUCUCCAGUUGCUCUUAGCUCCUGAGGGCAAAGCCUGGGCCUCAUCCUCUUGUGGAUCCAGGAGAGCAGUCGCUGAAGAGAAAGAGGAAGAAAAGGAGUGGCUAGAAAAGAAAGUUUAUUUCCACUGCAGGAAGCUGAGAAAUGUCCCAAGCAGGAAUCAGCUCCGUGAAUCAGGCCUGACUCUCCCUGUUACAUCCUGACUUCUAAAGGAGACAUACGAUUUGAUUCAGUAAUUCCCCUUCUAGGAAUUCAUCCUGAGGAGAUGUACCAAGUGAUGUAUGUUCAAAGAUGCUCAUCACUGUGUUAUUUAUCACAGAGGAAAACUUGAACAAUAUCCUGAGGUUGACUGGGCUGAACUGAACGGGUCCUACAUGAAGGCUCUCACAUUCUUGCAGUCUGACCAAGACUCAUUUAAAGACUACUGGACUGAAUGUCCAAGAUGGCUCACCCACAUUGCUGGCAGUUGAUGCUGCAUAUUCCCUGGGAAUUCAUCCGGAGCUCUUGACCUGGUCACUUUCUUCACCAGGGCACCUCCUUAUGGCUCAGGUGUCUCACAGCAUGGCAGCUGGUUUUCAAGGGCAAGUGUUUUAAGACUAAGACUUUUAAGAAGCCCAGACAGAUGCUGCAAGACUUACGACCUAACCUUGAAAGUUCAAAAUGUCAUUUCCUCCACAUUGUAUUGGUUAAGCUAGUCACUAAGGCUAGCCCAGAUUCAAAGGGAAGAGAAUUAGACUGUACCUGUUGAUGAGGGAAUGGCAAGGUCACACUGCAGAAGAGCAAGUGGUGUAGGAGAUAUUGUUGUGUCCAAGUAUUAUAUUGGGUAAGUACAAUCUGCCAUGCCUAUACCCUUAGGAUAAUGAUAUAGUAAGAUGGAAAGAGUUGUGGUCCUUGUUGUAUCUAAGUUACUGCACCAUCCCUACAAGGACUUCUUGUUAAGUAAACAAAUAAUGUCCUAAAAGUUUAAGCCAGCCGGGUACGGUGGCUCACGCCUGUAAUCCCAGCACUUUGGGAAGCCGAGGCAAGCG